rnacentral:lncRNA from 1 species
GCCACGGCUGGGGGGGGCGACCGUCUGGACAAUGCCCCAGCGAUCCCCUUGCUGCCCUCACGCAUUCUAGCCUAGGCUAGAGGCGGUCGUCAGACCUCAAGGAGACAGGUCGCAGCUGGGGCGCAUGCCUCUCGACCAUAAAUCCGUUCGGCCGUCGCUCGCAUGCCUCGGCCAACCUGCACCGAGUGUUCGUUUUUGCGGGCAACGUCCAAAAGGAUUGAUGGGAGAGGCGGCCUUGUUUCCGCCCCCAGCCAUCCCCUUGCUGCCCUCGCUCGCACUAAGCCUUGGCCAACCAGCACCAAGGACUCGGUUUAGAGGGGUACAGGCAACAAGGAGACAUGCCGCAGCUGGGCGCGGGGUGCCUCUCUGCCAACAAUCCCCUUGGCUGUCACUCGCUUGCCUCGGUCAACCAGCACCGAGUAUUCGUUUUUGCGGGCGACGGACAAAUGGAUUGUUGACGAGAGGCUAAUAGGCAUUGUUUACAUCCCCAGCCAUCCCCAUCAAGGGAAAUGCCACGGCUGGGGGGGCGACCGUCUGGAUAAUGCCCCCAGUGAUCCCCUUGCUGCCCUCACGCAUUCUAGCCUAGGCUAGAGGCGGUCGUCAGGCCUCAAGGAGACAGGUCGCAGCUGGGGGCAACUUUUCUUGUCGAGCCGACGUCAAGCGCUGCACUCCACCCACGCUCGCCGUCCCCUUGCUGCCAUCGCCCACUAGCCUUGGCCAACCGGCACCUAGGACUCGAUUUAGUUGACUUUGGGCAUGGGGGCAGCCUUAGCCGGGUGGAGGAGCGAAAUCCCAGCUCAAACCACGCAAAAAAUUUGAUUUUCUGAUCAGGCAGAAUUUUUCUGACGAGCCGCGGUCAGGUCGCCCACUAGCCUUGGCUAACAGGCACCAGGGGCUCUAUUUAUGCGACUUCAGGCAAUGGGGCAGCCUUGGCUGGGCGGAGGAGCAAAAUCCCAGCAGAAAAUUUGAUUUUUUUAUCGGGAAAAAUUUUCUGACAUGCCACCACAAGGUCGCUGGAAAAGUACUCCGGCGGCGGCGGUGGUGGGUGGUGGCGCCGGAGUCAAUGUCCACCGGGCAUAAGGUCUCCCCCGCCCCCGAAGGUUUUUCCUCGAUUGGCUUGGCUAGGCCUCCUGGUCACCUUGGGGGGUUUUUGCCUUGCCAAGCCUUGCCAUCUCCCAAACUACCUCCCCCCUAUAUAUACAAACCUACUUUUGCUUGAAAAACAAAAGGGAACAUUGAAUUUUUCCCGCAUAGGAGCAGCUUUUUCCCGCACAGGAGCAGCUUUUCCCGCAUAGGAGCAGAUUUUGCGCCCGAACUUCAUUUUUCUCUCGGACAACCUCAACUUUCCCUCGGACAACUAUUGAUCAAACUCAUUUUUACGCCCUCUAGUACGUCGGAAACCAACCCAGCACACCUUUCAUCGAGCCAAAUUGCCUGAUGUGCGAGGGAGAACCCACCUCCAGGCAGAAAACCCCGGACUUUGGAGGCUGAAGCUGCCCAAUCUCAUUUUUCCUCGGACCACAUGCCUAAUUAUCAUUUUUAUGCCUACUUGUCCGAGGAAAAUCAACCCAGCUGAACUUUUGCUGGAGCCAUAUUGCCCGAUGUGCGGGGGAGCACCCCCACCGCCCGAGGAACUCCGCACUUCUCACGCCCGAUGGCGCACCAGCUCAUUUUUUUCCCGCACAAAGUCAUUUUUCCUCGGAUAAAAACCCCCCAAUCUCAUUUUUCCUCGGACCACAUGCCAAAUUAUCAUUUUUAUGCCUUCUUGUCCGAGGAAAUUCCGCCCAGCUGAACUUUUGCUCGAGCCAUAUUGCCCGAUGUGCGGGGGAGCACCCGCACCGCCCGAGGAACUCCGCACUUCUCACGCCCGAUGGCGCACCAGCUCAUUUUUUUCCCGCACAAAGUCAUUUUCCCUCGGACAAAAACCCACCAAUCUCAUUUUUCCUCGGACCAAAUGCCAAAUUAUCAUUUUUAUGCCUACUUGUCCGAGGAAAAUCCUCCCAGCUGAACUUUUGCUCGAGCCAUAUUGCCCGAUGUGCGGGGGAGCACCCCCACCGCCCGAGGAACUCCGCACUUCUCACGCCCGAUGCCGCACCAGCUCAUUUUUUUCCCGCACAAAGUCAUUUUCCCUCGGACAAAAACCCACCAAUCUAAUUUUUCCUCGGACCGAAUGCCAAAUUAUCAUUUUUAUGCCUACUUGUCCGAAGAAAAUCCUCCCAGCUGAACUUUUGCUCGAGCCAUAUUGCCCGAUGUGCGGGGGAGCACCCCCACCGCCCGAGGAACUCCGGACUUUUCACGCCCGAUGGCGCACCAGCUCAUUUUUUUCCCGCACAAAGUCAUUUUUCCUCGGACAAAAACCCAUAAAUCUCAUUUUUCCUCGGACCAAAUGCCAAAUUAUCAUUUUUAUGCCUACUUGUCCGAGGAUGAUCCUUCCGCAGCUGAACUUUUGCUCGCCCCGAUAACAUUUUUUUGAGAUAUAAUUGUUUCGAGGCAGAGGAUUCUCGUUACGUUGUGCCAUUCGGUUGUUUGACCGACAUUUCAUCCUCAACUGAAGGAUAACUUGGUGUGUUGUUAAACCAAGACACAUGUAGGUGUGUAAGUAGCUUUUGCCUCUUUGAUUUGCAUUGCACUUGCAUCCCUCCGAUGCCCAAAGCCUAAGGGAGGGGCAAAUCUUUGAUUUGCUUUGGACAAGGCAGUUAGGUUGUUGGCAUAACAGUUAUGCAUUUGUUUGGACUUGGGUUCCCCAUUCCAUUCCAAUCGCCUCCAAUGCAACUAAGGCAUUUGCUCGGUUGGACAUGGGCUCUACACUCCCAACUUAUUUCUUGACCGCGGAGAGCGUUCCAUCGGCGGGCCCAGGGUCUUUCUAACCUCACUAACGAAACGUUGGUGUUUUGUAAGGGAGGGAGGGAUGUUUGGGACUUGGUAGAAAUUAAGUUGAAGGGGGGGGGGACGAAUCGGUGCGACAUGGGGCUGAAUCUCAGUGGAUCGUGGCAGCAAGGCCACUCUGCCACUUACAAUACCCCGUCGCGUAUUUAAGUCGUCUGCAAAAGAUUCAGCCUACCGCUCGGUGGGAAUUAUACUUCAUGGCGGCCCACACAGUGCAUCCACCGUGAGGGCUACGCCAAUGCACGUGCCUUUGGGAGUCAAAAGACCCCUACUGCAGGUCGGCAAUCGGGCGGCAGGCGCAUGCGCCGCUUCUCUAGCCUGGAUUUUGACUUAGAGACGUUCAGUCAUAAUCCUGCACACGGUAGCUUCGCGCCACUGGCUUUUCAACCAAUUGUGUGAAUCAACGGUUCCUCUCGUACUAGGUUGAAUUACUAUCGCGGCACUGUCAUCAGUGAGAAACUACAAAUAGUGCUAGUAUAACAAAUGUGAAUUCAAACAAGCAAAUAAACAAUACGCAGAAAGUAAAUAACACACAGAGAUUUUUAACGUGGUAAAACCCAAACAGGGAAACGUCCACGGUUGUCCUCGCGACAACAAAAUAAUCCACUAGAUGAAAAGAGAUGUACAAACCUAUCAACUACCUGCACUCACUGCGAGUUGAUACUCCUGGUUAUCUCUAACACCUUGACUUCACCAGAGCACCUUGAUGUACGCACAAGACACUCGACUUCUUGAUGAACACACAAGAAGACUCGAAGCCGAAUUCACAAUAACUCUUGAAGAUCACAAAGAUAUGAAUUGAGAAAAGGGGGAAGGAAGGGAAUUGAGUUCAAUAGCCACAAACACUUUCAAUAUCAAAAACCUAACCAAAACACAUGAACUAGAAGAAGAAUGGACAGCCAAAGAACUAGCUUGUUCUUUGGAAGAGAAACCCUUUUUAUACUUAGGGUUGGAAACCAAGGAAAAUGGGCCGAAACAGUGCAAACCGACUUUGGACGUUCGUACGUCGAUAUGACGUUCGAACGUCGCCACACAAAAAUAAGCCUGCUGCCUACCAUGACGUACGAACGCUCUAAUUCGGUACGUACGUCUCCAUACGAAAACACGUCUGCUGCCUACUUGGACGUACGAACGUCCUAACUGCGUACGUACGUCCUGACCAAAAGAUGUUUGCUACUUCAGUGGACGUACGUACGUCCUAAUCCGGUACGUACGUCCAGAACCUAAUAACUUUUCCUGGACAGACCUAAGAGACACAAGGACACGAGACGACCAUGCGUACAUCUUGGUUUUCCUAACAAUGAAUUCAAGGCGAGAUAACCAAAGACACUUUGUCACAAAAUUGAUGUCAAACCACUUCGUGCCGGUUUCAAUCUCCCCCUUUGACAUUGAUUUUGUGACAAAAACCUAUGACUCUAAUAGCACUUAUAAAACGUGCUUACAAUCCCAAACCAUGGCAUUUAUAAAACAUGCCUACAAAAUCACUCAAAAUAGAAACACAUAACAAGUCACCAAUUCUUGUUAUCCAGCUUUAGGAAGAUGCUUUAACCAUCAGAGAUCGAACGGAAGCAACUAGAAAUUUCCGAAGCAAUCAAGGAUUCAACAGAAGUUCCUUCGAGCAACUCCCCCAUACUUCAUGAGCUCCAAAAUAUUUUUGACACUCGAACUCCCCCAUAACAAUAUAACGUCUAAAAUCAUCAACACGUUCACUCCCCCAUACGUGUAGCAUACCUGAAACAUGACCCAAAAAUAACCUAACAACAAGAAGACGAUUGUUAGUAAUCAGAGUCAUAAAUCUCCCCCUUUUUGUCACAACAAGUGAGCAAAAUAACCAACCAACAAAGGAAAAGAACAACAAUAAACCAAUAACUAAGAAGAAGAAAUCAAUACCAAACAAAGAAUACAAACCAGAUAAAAAAAUAAACCGAACCCAACUGUUAAAAGUUCAGAAAGUCAACUAAUAACCAAACAGAAAAAUCCAUAAACAUAAAAGACAAAACGACAAAAAUAUAAGGCUUGAGUUAACGAAUUCGAAAAACCCGUUCCCAACGACCUAGAGGAAGCUUGGAGAAGUAAGCUUGCGCACGAGCCGAAGUCUAAUCCACCGAGCGAUCAUAUGAACAUAAAGCUUAAGAUAGGACAUAAAGCUUUCGCACGAGCCGAAUAGCUAUUCAACCGAGUUGGCACAGGACUAUCAGCACUCGUACAAAAUAACUCCCCAAUUCUGCUGUCCAAGCCACAGUCGGUAAGAGGAGCAGCAAGUCCCGGAACCUUCGGAUAACCAACCAACUCCAAGAUGUGAUUUUGAAGAUGUCCCGGUAAUCUCUCCCAAUGAUUGACACGAACCAAACAAGGAUUAAGAAAAGGACGAUGAAUAUAGUCAUAUCCCCCAAUCGUGGCCAACAAACUUUGGAGGGCUCACCCCCAUAUACUGUCCCUGAAAACCCAAGUGCUUGAGUAUAGUCAUUAUAAAGUUAGGGAAAGGAAGAAUACCCUUAGCUGCAUCGAUCUGAAGCAUUCGACUGUAGAUGACCUCAGAGAGAUGAAGAUGGUGCACCGACAUACAGACCACUAAUUUGACCAUGUCGUCGGUCAUGAUAAUCUUGUUGCCCUUGGAGGGGUAGAUGUUGGAGUGGGCAACCAUAUGUAAGAGGAUGGCGCUGUAGUGUUUGGCAUGAUACCUUUCCGUGACACCAUCAAUAAACAUCUGCUGAACCUGAUUCACAAAGUCAAUUUGAAUCGUAUCCGGAACAGGCCAUCUGACAGAAACAGCAUCUUCAGGAAUAAAGUCACCAUCAAUACCCAACGCCUCGCGUAUCACCUUAGGAGAAAUGGUGUAUCGCCGACCCUCAAUCAAGACCGAAAAACUCGAACGAUUCUGCGAGGGUGUCUUUGUCUCAUAGAAGGCUAUCGUAUGCUCAACCGAGUACUUGGUGAUUGGUUGAGCCACCCUUAGCCAAUUCCGAGUCUCAAAGAAGAGGGAUAUGUUGCCAAGUUGAGAAGUCCCAAGAGGAGUAGCAGCGAUGUCUGCCAAGUCAAAGAAUCGCUCAGGAACAAUGGCUUUUGCUCGAGGAUGAGCACCAAGAGAUGUGAAGUGAGGCGACAAGGCCGGAGUGGAACCUCUACCCCUAGGAGCGCGAGAAGAGGAUGCCGCGUUGGAGGGAGUGGUGCGUGCGCGCUUGGAAGCCAUUGUCUACACAAUCACAACAGUAAACAAACCAAUAAUGUAAGAAAAUUGACAAAAUAACCAAAUUCAAGCCCAUAGAGGCAUUUCAUCAAACACUUGAUGUGCAUAAUCUUAAUACAUGGUAUUGACAACAAUGUAGCAAAGGCAAGCAACCAAACACACGGCAAAACAUAACCAAUAGCAGAUACCAUGAACAAAACACUUCCCAAGGUUGUCCACAACAAAAAAAAUGCAAGAUUGAGUAUCGAAACACCAAUUUCCAUUGAUUCAUCAUGUAAACAUACAACCUUAACUGACAAUACUAUAAAGUAUAACCAAGCAAUCAACAAAACAUGACAAUGGAGAAGAAAGGGAGAUCAAUAAAACUUACAAGAGAUGGUGAUUGAGGAUGACGAACAAAUCUCCCGACCAACACACCGGACCAAAACAAUGAGAAGAGAAGAUGAACAAAUUUCAAACAAGACUAGAGAGAAGAGAAUCUCCUAAGACAAUGAGGGAAAACUAACCAAAAACUAACUGCUUGUAGAGUGCCAAGGAGGGAAACACGAUUUAUAUAACAGUUUGCUUUGUGUUAAAAAAAAUUUGGUUUUUAAACAGCAAAUGGGCCGAACUGUAACAGAGACGUUCGUACGUUCUAGGAACAUUCGUACGUCGAGCCCCAAAAACCAAAGAUCUGACUAAGAACACAUUCGUACGUCUUAGGAACGUUCGUACGUUUCAAAAAGAUCUGUCCCCCCAAACAUACGAACGUCAUGAAAGCGUACGUACGUACCCCUUUUUUUUUUUUUUUUUUUUUUUUGAAAAAGAAAGAACCAACCUAACAGCUAGAUAAUAAACCACAUAACCCCAAAAACAAAUAUUGAGAGACAUCACAAGAAAACACUUCUACUUAUCAUACGUAUUCCAAUUACAACCGAAUACAGUUUAAACAACCCUCAACCACAAGAGAAUGCAAAAUCGAAGAGCGACAUUAUACACCAUGACAUGGUAGUUACUAGAAUGAUGCAAGCAUGUAGAAGAACCUGAUAGACCAAUACCAACCUCCGAAAACAAACUAAAGACAUGAUCAUGGAAUACCUUGAAAGUGUUUUGCAAGUAGACACAGAAAAACUGGUAUUCUUCUUGUCUUCCAACUAGACAAGUAUGACAGACACUUAACAUCCGUUUUUUUUUUUUUUUUUUUUUAUUUUUGUUUGUUAAAAAAAAUGUCAUUCCCGUGUGGGAGUAUAAAGUAUCUCCAUCUUUUACCAGAACACGAGGGUAGGGUGUAGCCUACAUCUUUUCAGCAAAAACACACUCAAGAAGUGCAAUACCAUGAUAACGUGCAACACAAGAACUAACAUCUCCUGAGUGCAUCCGUCAGAGCAUGACCCUCACAGCCCCAACGGGUUCUUAGCCAAAUGAGUAUGCUCUCAAGACAUUCAAAUGGCUGGGGAUUUUGUGAGUAAUUGACCACUUACAAGAGGUGAGAAAAUAGAGAAAAUAAAAACAACGAUCAUGAAAAGCAACCAUGGAAAACUGGAGUUAUACAUGUAUUGAAAAUGUCAAGCCAACCACAUUGAAAUGCAUCAUGCAAGAAACUACCAAUACGAAGAGAGUAUAAUGUAACCCUACCACUAUGCAUGACACAAAGACAGUUGAGAGCGCCAAACUAGAAACAUCUGUAAAAUGGAAUCCACACAAUAGAGAAUGUAGUAUGUCCUCAAUACCAACAACAACAAUAAAUGACCAAACCUAAACAUCCUAAACACAGACAGUUCCAAUGAACACAUUAGGCAUAUGAAUGCGGAAGAGGUGUAGUGACAAUGAAGCAGUUAUCAGAUGAGCGACUACCAGAUAACACCAAGAUAUGAUUGGAAUCAAAAACAUCACAACGAUUAUCCUCAAACACAACCUUAAAUUUAGCAUCACAUAACUGACUAAUACUCAAUAGAUUGGACUUAAGACCCUUAACAAAAAGAAGCUCAUGACUAUCGAGCGAUUCAACCUCAGAAAAGUUACCUUUACCUUCAACCGGAAGCAUUUUACCAUUACCAAACCUAACCUUACCUCCAUAACCAAGAGUCAGGUUAUCAAUCAGAGUCUUAUCACCUGUCAUAUGACGCGAACAACCGCUGUCAAGAUACCAUGAUGAAGGCAAUGGUUCAACCAAACGAGCCAUGUGAGACACCAUUUUCCUGGAUGCAUCCACACUCCUAUCCCAGAAAUGUGGUGGUGGAGUAGGCAUGGGUGUUGCUUGAGGACGGUUUCCAUAAGGAGAAGUUCUGGGUAAACCCCAUGGAGCAUAGCCAUUCCACAUGUAUGGAGCCUGCAUGGAGAAGGUGGAAGACUUGUUCCAAUAUGAGUUACCUGCAAAAGAAGGAUGAUGAGCAGGAUACAAAUUAUUCCAACAAAAGGCAGAAGUGUGACCCAUGCGACCACAUGUUAGACAUUUAAAGCCUUUGUGUCUAGAGUUCUUUUUCCGAACAUGCUUUACAUGAGUAACCUUGGGUGGUGAUACCACACUAGACACCUGCACAGGAGCAGGAAUAGCGACACUUGUUGGUCGCACAAAGGUAGUGCGGGAAGUGCUAGCAGUUGCAAGGGGAACAGAAGUGUCAUAACCUAAACCAGAUUUAUCUGAAUGGGAUUUACCGAUUCCCAACAGAGAGUUUAGAUUAGCACUUGCUUUACCAAACCCAACCAAUUGUUUGUUAGCAGCAAACAACUCAGCCUUUACUCUCUCAUGCUCCAGUACAAGGGAUCGAUACCGUGUUUCCAGAUCAUUAUUCAGUUUUUCUAGAGUGACAAUACGCACUUGGAAAUCCUCCUUUUCCUUCACAAAUUCUUCCUUCAACAUGUUGGAAUCACCUGUAAGAUUGCAUAUAUCCUGUCCAAGACUCUCUACCUGAUCCUGCAAGACAGUGUUAGUUUUUUCAAGCAACUUUACUUGUUGCAUAGAAAACUUAUACAUGUCACAUAAUUCACUAGUAGUAGCAUGAACACCAGAAUCAGAAACAUUAAUAUCAGCAGAAGAGGAUACAAUACCUCCUGGAUGUUCAUCCAGGGAUGCACUGAAGACCACAUAAUUGGAGACAACAUUUGAGAGAUUCCCAUCAUCAUCUUCAUCUGAAUCAUCCCAUGUUACUGUGAGAUUCGCUUUGGAAUUAUCACCAGGUUUGCGAUCCACCUUCUUGUCACAUUCAUUUGCAAAGUGUCCAUAAUCACGACACUUGUAACAUUGGACAUCUUUACGAUCAACUCGAGCUCUUCUCCCAUCCACAGAGAACCGCUCAAAACCACGACUUCUAGGAGCAUUUGAGGAAUCAGGAAAUCGCUUUCGAGGAUCUCGAUUCUGUUGAUAUUUCAGAAUCUUCUGAAAGCUACGUGACAGAAACGCAUAGUUAUCAUCCACAUCCUGUUCUUCAUCAUCAGAGGGUCCUGUGGAAGGUUCUUUAGACGAUGUAGCUUUGAAUGCAACAGAUUUGUUCUUCAAAGGUUCUUCCAAAGCCUGUUCCAUCUCACAUGUCCUUAGUUUGCCAGCAAGUGUCUCGAUGGACAUGUUCUUAAUCACAUUACUCUCAGUGAUGGCAUCCUUUCGUGAACGAAACCGAGGAGGCAAAGCACGCAAUAUCUUACGUACCACCUGUGUGUCAGUAUAUGCAUGACCAAUGGCCGCACUGCAGUUGAUGAUGUCUUGGAGACGAAUAAAGAAAUCAUCAAAGGUCUCAGAAUUAUCCAUCCGUAGAUUCUCAAACUGAGAUGUUAACAGUUCCAGCUUACUUUCUUUGACUGUUUCGUCACCUUCAUGUGUACAGAUAAGCCUGUUCCAUGCAUCUUUAGCCUCUUCACAGCCCUGCACCCUACGAAACUCACUAGCAUUUAAUGCCAUGAAAAUAGCAUUGAGUGCCUUGUUGUUAUAAUUUGCCAACAACUUCUGUUCAGGCG